CAGCAGUGGGGAAUAUUGCGCAAUGGGGGAAACCCUGACGCAGCGACGCCGCGUGAGCGAAGAAGGCCUUAGGGUCGUAAAGCUCUGUUUUAAGGGACGAAUAUCUUCAGUAGUAACUGACUGGGGAAUGACGGUACCUUAAGAGAAAGCCACGGCUAACUACGUGCCAGCAGCCGCGGUAAUACGUAGGUGGCGAGCGUUAUCCGGAAUUAUUGGGCGUAAAGGGUGCGUAGGCGGCAUAUUAAGUCUGUGGUGAAAGUGCGGGGCUCAACUCCGUAUUGCCUUAGAAACUGGUAUGCUAGAGUGCAGGAGAGGGCAGUGGAAUUCCAUGUGUAGCGGUAAAAUGCGUAGAUAUAUGGAGGAACACCGGUGGCGAAGGCGGCUGCCUGGCCUGUAACUGACGCUGAGGCACGAAAGUGUGGGGAUCAAACGGGAUUAGAUACCCUGGUAGUCCACACUGUAAACGAUGAUAACUCGCUGUCGGCGAUACACAGUCGGUGGCCAAGCGAAAGCAUUAAGUUAUCCACCUGGGGAGUACGACCGCAAGGUUGAAACUCAAAGGAAUUGACGGGGGCCCGCACAAGCGGAGGAACAUGUGGUUUAAUUCGAUGAUACGCGAGGAACCUUACCCGGGCUCGAACGGUGCAUGAAUAUACGAGAGAUUGUAUAGUCCUUCGGGACAUGUAUCGAGGUGCUGCAUGGUUGUCGUCAGCUCGUGCCGUGAGGUGUCGGCUUAAGUGCCAUAACGAGCGCAACCCUUGUCAUUAGUUGCCAUCAGGUCAAGCUGGGGACUUUAAUGAGACUGCCACCGUAAGGUGUGAGGAAGGGGGGGAGGACGUCAAAUCAGCACGGCCCUUAUGUCCGGGGCGACACACGUGUUACAAUGGGAGGUACAGAGGGCAGCUAUCCGGUGACGGAAUGCUAAUCUCCAAAACCUUUCUCAGUUCGGAUUGGAGUCUGCAACUCGACUCCACGGAGGUGGAUUCGCUAGUAAUCGCGCGUCAGCCAUGGCGCGGUGA
rnacentral:rRNA from 1 species